UGACGUUAUCAGUGACGUCACUGAUGACGUCAUCUGUGAUGAUGACGUUGCGGAUGCCGGUGAAGUCAUCAGUGACGUCACUGAUGACGUCAU
rnacentral:pre_miRNA from 1 species